rnacentral:rRNA from 1 species
GUCGGGAAUUUUGGGCAAUGGGCGAAAGCCUGACCCAGCAACGCCGCGUGAGGGAUGAAGGCCUUCGGGUCGUAAACCUCUGUCGGGAGGGACGAAAGGUCGCCGAACUAAUAAGUCGGAGGCUUGACGGUACCUCUAGAGGAAGCGCCGGCUAACUCCGUGCCAGCAGCCGCGGUAAUACGGAGGGCGCAAGCGUUGUUCGGAAUUACUGGGCGUAAAGCGCGUGUAGGCGGCCAGGUAAGUCGGAUGUGAAAGCCCGGGGCCCAACCCCGGAACUGCACCCGAUACUGCCUGGCUGGAGUCCCGGAGAGGAUGGCGGAAUUUCCGGUGUAGAGGUGAAAUUCGUAGAUAUCGGAAGGAACACCAGUGGCGAAGGCGGCCAUCUGGACGGUGACUGACGCUGAGACGCGAAAGCGUGGGGAGCAAACAGGAUUAGAAACCCUUGUAGUCC